rnacentral:lncRNA from 1 species
AAAAGAAGAGUCAUAACAUAACACAAGUACUACUACUACCAUGAAAGAAGAAGCGAAGGGACAAAAGCUUCUUUUUCAGAUUUGCUGUACUGUACGUAAGUUUCAGUCAUGUUUUCUCUUCUAUGACCUGUUUCUUUGUUAUCCUAUUUAUUAUGUCCUCUUCACUUCCACCGAAUCCACUCAUUUAUUUAUUUUUACCAACAAAAACUAACUUUAACUGUUCACUUCAAAAUCUAAAUGUUUCAAUUAUUAUGGGUUUUGUUUUGUUUGUUCUUUUCUUAGUUACUGUUUAACCCUGUUUGUUAGUGCUUGACCAAUAAAUAGCGUUGUUUUUGUUUUCACAAAUUAAUUCAUAUAUUGUACUUUAAUAUUGAACAAUAUAGUUUUUAUUUAAUUAAUAAUAAUAAUAAUUGUUAUUGCAGCUAGCUUAAAGGGUUGAUCCAUUUUUCUAUGCUGCUGUGAUGAAGAUUUUUGAUAUGCUAAUUGAUUAUUACUAUUAUGAGCAUUUUGGAAGUGGUUGAUGUUUGUGGAAAUGAACUUGGUGUUUCUUCUAUUGUUAUUGUUGGCUAGUGUUUCUUCUUUUGCUCUUCCUCAGCUUGAUUUACAAGGUAGUACAAUCUUUUGUUAACUUCAAUUUCAUU